UGGGGAAUUUUGGACAAUGGGGGAAACCCUGAUCCAGCCAUCCCGCGUGUGCGAUGAAGGCCUUCGGGUUGUAAAGCACUUUUGGCAGGAAAGAAACGUCGCGGGUUAAUACCCCGCGGAACUGACGGUACCUGCAGAAUAAGCACCGGCUAACUACGUGCCAGCAGCCGCGGUAAUACGUAGGGUGCAAGCGUUAAUCGGAAUUACUGGGCGUAAAGCGUGCGCAGGCGGUUCGGAAAGAAAGAUGUGAAAUCCCAGAGCUUAACUUUGGAACUGCAUUUUUAACUACCGGGCUAGAGUGUGUCAGAGGGAGGUGGAAUUCCGCGUGUAGCAGUGAAAUGCGUAGAUAUGCGGAGGAACACCGAUGGCGAAGGCAGCCUCCUGGGAUAACACUGACGCUCAUGCACGAAAGCGUGGGGAGCAAACAGGAUUAGAUACCCUGGUAGUCCACGCCCUAAACGAUGUCAACUAGCUGUUGGGGUCUUCGGACCUUGGUAGCGCAGCUAACGCGUGAAGUUGACCGCCUGGGGAGUACGGUCGCAAGAUUAAAACUU
rnacentral:rRNA from 1 species